GUAUGAUCAUCAAUGGAAUCUACAAUAAAGAAUAUACUAAACACUUUGCUUUUAAUCAGCUACAAUUCAAAAACCAAGCACUACAGCAAAGAUAACACAGUUUUUAAUAUGAUAUGGUGUUCUCGGACAGUGUCACUCUCUCAUCGGUGCCAUAUACUAGGAACUUGCGGGCUGAAUACGUGGAGCAGGGUUUGAAAGUAUUCUUGGGCGUUAGGAAUCAUAAAAUUCCUUUACAUACAUAGAUAUGGCACUAGCUACCCAGGCGUAUGAGCAAGAAAUUGAUAUUAAAUGGGACCAAGUGUGCAUAAUAAAACCACUGUGUGAUACUACAGGUGUCACCAUGCUAGAAGCCAUAGAAAUUGAGAAAAGAAGACUUUCACUUAAUAUUAUUAAUGAUAAUGAACCAUUAGUGUUACCUAUGUCAUCGAAAUGGUGUGUCCGACAUGCUAUUUAGAAUUAUAUAAUGUAAUUCCCGUAUACCCUAGUAUACUUAUCUAGUAUGUUGCGUAGCACACCACACGAUUGUCCCCUUAACUCAUACUAUGUGGGCUUAUGCAGUAUGUAUAAUAUAUAUUUUGAUGUGUAGAUUUGGUAUUUAACUAGUUGGCAUUAUAUGUUAUUUUAUUGUGUUUUAUUAUCAUGUUUUAUUAUAACUUCUUAUAUUUUAUUUUAUAUAUUACUAGUUGUUGUAUUUCUUGCUGUAUGUUUUGGUAUUUACUUAUUAUACCAUUGUAAUUCGUGCACACAUUUUAUGUAUUAUGUGUUUUUGGUUUCAAUGUGUUUUUAAUGUGAUAGGACAUAGGAU
rnacentral:lncRNA from 1 species